rnacentral:rRNA from 1 species
CAGUCGCCGCGGUAAUACGAGGGGGGCAAGCGUUGUUCGGAAUUAUUGGGCGUAAAGGGCGCGUAGGCGGUUUGACAAGUCUGAUGUGAAAUCUAUGGGCUCAACCCAUAGCCUGCAUUAGAAACUGUCGGGCUUGAGUAUGGGAGAGGUGAGUGGAAUUUCCGGUGUAGCGGUGAAAUGCGUAGAUAUCGGAAGGAACACCUGUGGCGAAAGCGGCUCACUGGACCAUAACUGACGCUGAGGCGCGAAAGCUAGGGGAGCAAACAGGAUUAGAUACCCCGGUAGUCCCUGUCUCUUAUAC